UAUUUUUAAAGUUGAAUAACUAUUCAGAUUACGUAAAUUACAUUUUACAUGUGCAGUUGAAUUAUUUUUGAAAAUAAUACUAAUACAUGUAUCAAUGAAAACAAUGGCAAUUGUAUCCCUCAGAGCAAUCUGCUCUUUGAUUAUUUAGAAACCAUCCGUUAAAGUAUGAAAUAUUUUAUAUUUGAUUAUUUAUUAUGACCAGGCUUAUUCUGAUAACACUGUGUUUGUUACUUAGUUUCAAACCUAGAAUCUGGCAAGUUCAUUCAACUCCAGGUAAGUUUUCUGACGAAAGGUGGGCGGGUUCAGUCUGUGCACUCUGGCUUCCUCCCCCAAUAAAACUGACUACCAA
rnacentral:lncRNA from 1 species